AGCGAACGCUGGCGGCAGGCUUAACACAUGCAAGUCGAGCGGGCACUUCGGUGUCAGCGGCAGACGGGUGAGUAACACGUGGGAACGUACCCUUCGGUUCGGAAUAACGCUGGGAAACUAGCGCUAAUACCGGAUACGCCCUUUUGGGGAAAGGUUUACUGCCGAAGGAUCGGCCCGCGUCUGAUUAGCUAGUUGGUGGGGUAAUGGCCUACCAAGGCGACGAUCAGUAGCUGGUCUGAGAGGAUGAUCAGCCACACUGGGACUGAGACACGGCCCAGACUCCUACGGGAGGCAGCAGUGGGGAAUAUUGGACAAUGGGCGCAAGCCUGAUCCAGCCAUGCCGCGUGAGUGAUGAAGGCCUUAGGGUUGUAAAGCUCUUUUGUCCGGGACGAUAAUGACGGUACCGGAAGAAUAAGCCCCGGCUAGCUUCGUG
rnacentral:rRNA from 1 species